UGCCGGGUGGCUCAGUUGGGUAGAGAGAUGGCUAUCACGCACAGGUCCCUGGUUCGAUUCCUUGUAUAAUAU